rnacentral:rRNA from 1 species
GACGAACGCUGGCGGCGUGCUUAACACAUGCAAGUCGAACGGAAAGGCCCUGCUUUUGUGGGGUGCUCGAGUGGCGAACGGGUGAGUAACACGUGAGUAACCUGCCCUUGACUUUGGGAUAACUUCAGGAAACUGGUGCUAAUACCGGAUAGGAGCUCCUGCUGCAUGGGGGGGGUUGGAAAGUUUCGGCGGUUGGGGAUGGACUCGCGGGUUAUCAGCUUGUUGGUGGGGUAGUGGCUUACCAAGGCUUUGACGGGUAGCCGGCCUGGGAGGGGAGCCGGCCACAUUGGGCCUGCGAUACGGCCCAGACUCCAACGGGAGGCAGCAGUGGGGAAUGUUGCACAGUGGGCGGACGCCUGAUGCAGCGACGCCGCGUGCGGAAUGACGGCCUUCGGGUUGUAAACCGCUUUCGCCUGUGACGAAGCGUGAGUGACGGUAAUGGGUAAAGAAGCACCGGCUAACUACGUG